AGAUAGAGAACUUCAUCACAAAGGCAAGAAGACAAUACAUGUGCCCCUACCAUUUUCUCAAUUAAUCAUGUAUGAUCGAUGGUGAUGAUGAUGUACAUCAUGUAUUAAUUAUAUCAUGUACGUAAUAUGUGUAUCUUUAAUCCCCCUCUGUCCUCCCCCCCAUCAGCUUGCAACUUCCUUUCCUUGACCGUCUCUAAUCAGAUCGAUUCUACAGAGAAAAGUGCUGGAUAUAUACAGUUUUUUUCCAGUGAGCUCAGAUAAGGUGAGCGUUACGUUGGAUAUUGUGUAAAGCCAUCUGAAUUGUCUUUUAAUUAUAUUAUUUUAAUUUUUAAUAUUUUGGUUGCACACAUCCACCCUCAUACAGAUUUGAACAUUAUUGAGCUUAUAUUAGGUGAGCUCACUGGAAUUUUAUUUAACUCACUGGAAUUGAGCU
rnacentral:lncRNA from 1 species